UACGUAGGGGGCAAGCGUUGUCCGGAAUCAUUGGGCGUAAAGCGCGUGUAGGCGGUCCGGUAAGUCCGCUGUGAAAGUCGGGGGCUCAACCCUCGGAUGCCGGUGGAUACUGUCGGGCUGGAGUCCGGAAGAGGGUGGUGGAAUUCCCAGUGUAGCGGUGAAAUGCGUAGAUAUUGGGAGGAACACCGGUGGCGAAGGCGGCCACCUGGGCCGGAACUGACGCUGAGGCGCGAAAGCGUGGGGAGCAAACGGG
rnacentral:rRNA from 1 species